rnacentral:lncRNA from 1 species
UACUAGUGACCGCUGGGUUGCUCGAAAUGUUUCCGGAGCUCCUCUAGCGAAGCUGUGAUCUCUUUCCCUCCCUCCUUAAUAAUUCAUCUGACAUUUCUCCAAGAGGAACCUGCUGGCACGUUUCCUUUGUCACAAACCUCUCCUGAAAUUCCGAGAGAAUUGCCCCCAAGAGGACACCUUGCUUUUAAGAAUCAACUCUAGCUCUACGCAGUCUAUUCCACAUUCCAAUGACAUGGACAUGGCUGGUGUGACCCACGUCUCAGAAGGCCACCAUGGCCUGGGGACCAGCAUGUUUGUCCCACAGAACACCCAAGGGGAAGAAGACAGCUGGCCAGGAAGAAAUUGCAAUGACUUUGAAGAUGCACAGGACCCACAGACUGCUGUGGCCCCGCCUUUACUUCCCAUGGCUUCUGGCGGCUCUCA